GAUAAAGAACCAAUAUUUUUGGUGACUCAUAAUAACUUUACGGAUCACAUUAUGUGACAUAUCAUUCAAGUUUCUGACCUAUCAGCUUUAGACGGUAGGGUAUUGGCCUACCGUGGCUAUGACGGGUAACGGGGAAUUAGGGUUCGAUUCCGGAGAGGGAGCCUGAGAAACGGCUACCACAUCUAAGGAAGGCAGCAGGCGCGCAAAUUACCCAAUCCUAAUACAGGGAGGUAGUGACAAGAAAUAACAAUACAGAACCUUACGGUUUUGUAAUUGGAAUGAGUUAAGUAUAAACCCCUUAACAAGUAUCAAUUGGAGGGCAAGUCUGGUGCCAGCAGCCGCGGUAAUUCCAGCUCCAAUAGCGUAUAUUAAAGUUGUUGCAGUUAAAAAGCUCGUAGUUAAUCUUCUGUUAAUUUUUAUAUAUAAUAUCUCGAUAUUUAUAUAAUAUUAACAUAAUUCAUAUUACUUUUUAGUAUAUGAAACUUUACUUUGAGAAAAUUAGAGUGCUUAAAGCAGGCUAUUGCCUUGAAUACUCCAGCAUGGAAUAAUAUUAAGGAUUUUUAUUCUUCUUAUUGGUUCUAGAAUAAAAAUGAUGAUUAAUAGGAACAGUUGGGGGCAUUUGUAUUUAACAGUCAGAGGUGAAAUUCUUAGAUUUGUUAAAGACAAACUACUGCGAAAGCAUUUGCCAAGGAUGUUUUCAUUAAUCAAGAACGAAAGUUAGGGGAUCGAAGACGAUCAGAUACCGUCGUA
rnacentral:rRNA from 1 species